ensembl:lncRNA
UGAAGCGUUGCAGGUGACAGAGUGCUGUGUGAAGUGGAUAAUUGGUCCCUUGAUAUACGGCGAGAUGAUGGAGCCACUAGAGUCGCCGUCUGUGCACUAAUCAGCCAUGUUUGUUUGUUUGUUUCUUUCUCUCAUUUUUCCUCUUUAACAAGCACUUCUACAAACUCUUCAUUCUGUUCAUCCUAACUGUGUAAUACAGUCUCCUGUUUAUUUCCUGUUUUCUCAUGUUACAGUGGUACAGUACAAUCAGUGAUUUAGUUUCACUCAGACAGGUACAGAGGCCACGCCUCCUUCACUGGUACUGACAGGUACAGAGGCCACACCUCCAUCACUGGGACUGACAGGUACAGAGGCCACGCCUGCUUCACUGGUACUGACAGGUACAGAGGCCACACCUCUUUCACUGGGACUGACAGGUACAGAGGCCACGCCUCCUUCACUGGGACUGACAGGUACAGAGGCCACGCCUGCUUCACUGGUACUGACAGGUACAGAGGCCACACCUCUUUCACUGGGACUGACAGGUACAGAGGCCACACCUACUUCACUGGGACUGACAAGUACAGAGGCCACGCCUCCUUCACUGGUACUGACAGGUACAGAGGCCAUGCCUCCUUUACUGGGACUGGCACAUAGAGGCCACACCUCCUUCACUGACACUGACAAGCUAAUGUUCGCUAGUUUGCUAGGCAGCUUGUAGCUACUGAUAGAGUGUUAACAUUAAUGUUCGUGAAAAUAACCAAUUAGCCAGCUAGUGAUAGUUAUUUCCAUUUCCAUUAACUACAUUUGGCAGACACCCUUAUCCAGAGCAACUUACAAUUAUCUCUUUUUGUUUUAAUACAGCUGAGUAGUUGAGGGUUAAGGGCCUUGCUCAAGGGCCCAGCAGUGGCAGCUUGGCGGUGCUGGGAUUUGAACUCAUGACAUUUUAAUCAGAAGUGCAAUGUCCU